rnacentral:rRNA from 1 species
AUUGAACGCUGGCGGCAUGCCUUACACAUGCAAGUCGAACGGCAGCACGGGAGCAAUCCUGGUGGCGAGUGGCGAACGGGUGAGUAAUAUAUCGGAACGUGCCCAGUCGUGGGGGAUAACGUAGCGAAAGCUACGCUAAUACCGCAUACGAUCCAUGGAUGAAAGCGGGGGAUCGCAAGACCUCGCGCGAUUGGAGCGGCCGAUAUCAGAUUAGGUAGUUGGUGAGGUAAAGGCUCACCAAGCCGGCGAUCUGUAGCUGGUCUGAGAGGACGACCAGACACACUGGGACUGAGACACGGCCCAGACUCCUACGGGAGGCAGCAGUGGGGAAUUUUGGACAAUGGGCGCAAGCCUGAUCCAGCAAUGCCGCGUGCAGGAUGAAGGCCUUCGGGUUGUAAACUGCUUUUGUACGGAACGAAACGGUGAGCUCUAAUACAGUUUGCUAAUGACGGUACCGUAAGAAUAAGCACCGGCUAACUACGUGCCAGCCGCCGCAGUAA